rnacentral:lncRNA from 1 species
CCCAGUGCACAGGAACAACUCGGUAGCCAAGGUUAGCGCGGCGCCGCCGACCAGAGGAGUGAAGACCUUCCAACAGCCUGAUGGCCUUCCCUAAGAAGAAACUCCAGGGUCUUGUUGCUGCCACCAUCACUCCAAUGACAGAGAAUGGACGCAGCCUGGGACAGACCCUUUGCCUGCACGAUAAUGGCCAUGCGCCACACAUGAUUUUGCAUUGCACAUAACUCCUUCUUGGACACCCGACACGACGGGAGCAGGCACUUCCCCAUCUGAGAGUCAUUGACCCAUUGGAGAGAAAUCAACUUUCCUGUCAUUGGUCAGUAUGUGGAUUACUUGGUGAAGGAACAGGGAGUGAAGAACAUUUUCGUACAUAAGCAGAUUAUUAAUCCUUCUAAACAUGAAAAUUUGAUGUACUGAGUCCUUUUAUAGUGAACUCCAAUGGCCAAUAAAGAUCUAAAGUCACAUUAAUUAGAGUGGAACACAAACUAUGUCCCAUUUUCCUUGCUUUAUGGGUCUGUUGGUUUUUCUUUAUAUUUCAUUUCAAUGUAAUGGACCAAAGUGUCAUCCAACACUAAUAAAGGGAUGCAUAAAUUUUUAUAGUUACAUUUUGUACAAACAAUUGCCACUACUGUUAAUACCUAAAGCCUCACCCCUACCUCUAUCCUGGGGUAGGAUCUAAUUAAAAUUAAUAUAUUCCAUGUGUAAAACAAAAUAAAUACAAAUAAAGGAAUCUCAAGCCCU